UUUGUUCUAUAUAUUGCACUUGAGAUUCUAGGUUACGCCGCUAGCUCUGCUCAGCCCGAUCCUUUUUUCGCUUGUGGCUUCUGUACGAGUCUUUGUCUUCUUUGAAACUGUACUUCUACGGAAUGAUCCCAAACCCGCAGACACAUCCUGGGUGCUCAGGAUUCCCGAGGGCCAAUGUGAGCUCAUCCAUUUCUCGAUCCACCACCAAC
rnacentral:lncRNA from 1 species